rnacentral:rRNA from 1 species
AUUGAACGCUGGCGGCAGGCCUAACACAUGCAAGUCGGGCGGAGCGGCGGACGGGUGAGUAAUGCCUCGGAAUCUGCCUGGUAGUGGGGGAUAACGUCCGGAAACGGGCGCUAAUACCGCAUACUAUCAGAUGAGCCUAGGUCGGAUUAGCUAGUUGGUGGGGUAAAGGCCUACCAAGGCGACGAUCCGUAACUGGUCUGAGAGGAUGAUGAGUAACACUGGAACGGAGACACGGUCCAGACUCCUAAGGGAGGCAGCAGUGGGGAAUAUUGGGCAAGGGGCGGAAGCCUAAUCCAUCCAUGCCGCGUGUGGGAAGAAGGUAUUCGGAUUGUAGAGCACGUUAAGUUGGGAGGCGUUACCAACAGAAUAAGCACCGGCUAACUUCGUGCCAGCAGCCGCGGUAAUAC